CCCUAAUGGAAGAGGACUCUGAGUUACCUUUUUCGAGCAAAGCCACCUAGGUUACUCUGUUUUCCCCAGAGUGACCCUUCUGUUCUGCAAAUUUUCAGAUUGAAGGGAGUAGCAGUAGAGUAUCAGAAGUAUCAGAAGCAAAAAAGUAAAUGUAUGAUUUGCAAAGCAUAACAAAAUGAAAAAUAAGCUUCUGCAGUCAUGGAAGUUCAGAAUUGGAUAACAACUUAGAUUAUUUAUUCCAACCUCAUCGAAAAAGAGAUAAAGACAUGGAAUUCAGGAAAAGUGAAAUCUACUUAAAUGUACCAAUCACAGCAGAGUCUUUUGGAACUUAAACAUCUUGACUCUUCUGUUUAAAGCCUAAAUCAACCUGAGAGAAGAGAUGAAACAACUGAGGGCCAAAAAGUUUACAAAAUUUUCCAAGAUCAUACAGCUAAUUAACAACAUCUGGGCUCUUCUUGACUUUUGGAAUCCAAAAGGUGCUACCAGCAUCCCAAGGUGUCCAGCUUGUAGACAGCCUGUCGUGGGACUUCUCAACCUCCAUAAUUGUAUAACCUCAAAGUAAUGGGAGAAGAUACACAAGUGAUCAUUGCCAGGACUGAAGACUGUUCCUAGGACUAC